rnacentral:rRNA from 1 species
UACAGAGGGUGCGAGCGUUGUCCGGAAUCACUGGGCGUAAAGGGCGCGUAGGCGGUUUUGUAAGUCGGGGGUGAAAUGCUGCGGCUCAACCGCAGCGCUGCCUUCGAGACUGCAAGACUGGAGCACGGUAGAGGCGGAUGGAAUUCCCGGUGUAGCGGUGAAAUGCGUAGAGAUCGGUAGGAACACCAGUGGCGAAGGCGGUCUCCUGGGGCCCACUUGACGCUGAUGCGAAAGCGUGGGGAGCAAACAGG